AAAACUUAACAUUUUGGCUUUUGAAUCCAAAAUUUGAUUUCUGCUUAAUAAAUUGCAUUUUUAGAAAUAUUUGUCAUCAGUGUCUCAAAGUUUAGAAGAGAAUAGAACUAAAAUGAGAAAUGAAUACAUUCCUUCUUUGGAAAUAUAAAUUAUUGGGAGAGAUAAAUGCUCUGAGUUAUUCCAAAAUUUGAAAUCAGUUCCAUAUAAUACUUUAGAAGCUAUAGGCUUCUAUAGACUUUGGACCAUGGCUAAGGAAUGAACUGUAACUAUACCAAAUAAUAAUAUUGUCAUUUAUCUUGUCAGAACAUUUUUUCCUUAUCAAGCAUGUUUUCCAUUACAUGGGAUUACUAUUUUGUUGUGGUGGUGGUUGAAUUAUUUCUGACUUUUCAUGACCUCAUUUGGAUUUUUUGGCAAAGAUAAAAUUUGUCAUUUUCUUCACCUCAUUUUACAGAUGAAGAACUGAGGCAAACAGAAGACCAGUGGCUGGCCCAUGUUCAUACUGCUAUGCUCCAGCCUUGGGUCCAAAGCUCCAUCCAGAAUUUUGGUAUGGCAUCUGAUAAAUAGUUAUACUGGAAGUAAACUUGGAUUAUUUUAUAUUUCUUCACUGGCUCAGAGAAAUUCAACAAAAUCAUUCCCUUGGCCAUUCACUCUCAAUCUGUUCCUAGACCUUCCAUUUCUAAAUCCCUUCUACAUCCAAGAUCAUUUCAAGUUUUGGGAGAUACUAGCUGGCAAGAAAGAAAACCCUUUGCAGGCUUGCCUACAUUGUACUUUACUGUUUUCUAUGGCUUAAGAAAAGGGAAAACCCUCAGUCCGCAGAGAAUGGACCUGAUUAGGUUGGUAGAGUCCAUACAUGAAGAAACUGCUGCUUCACUUACAAGAAUGUAAUGCUGCAGUGUGACUGGAAAGUAGUAUCCAAGGAGUUUUGUCCAGAAAGAGAGUAGAGAAGCUCUGAAGAACAGCUUGGUUUUGCAGGUUUAAAAGAGAUUCGUGACAUGCAGAUCUACAGUCCAGACUUGGGAAAUGACCUACAUACAUAGUUUCUCCUAUUCAUGAGUCUCACUGGUAAGUUUUUAUAAAUAUGUGCCCACUUUCCCCUAGAGGCUGCAUAUAUUGUGUAAGGGAGGAAUUAAUCCAAAGCGCGGGGGUGGUGCAAAGAAAAAAAAGAAAAAAAACCUCAAGAUUCCAGAGCACAGAAGGAGGAUGGGUGAACUCCAACUGACUUGGUCACUACUUCUUCAGCCAAGAGCCGGAAGGAGGCAAACCUCCCAAGCUGGGAAGAAGCCAGAUUUCUCUGGGAAUCAACAGCUUUCCCUGUGAACCCCUAGACACCUCUUCCCCAUUCUCAACAACAGCAUAUCUGUGAAUAUUGUAGACAGGGACUUUGAAAGGAAACCAUCUACGGAGAAAUCUGCUGUCAAAAUCUCCUUCUACAUUUCUUCCUGUCCUGUUCCUGGAUGCCUGAAUUGAAAUUUAAUUAGCUGAGGAAUAGGGAUCAACCAACAGCUAACCAGAAGAGGGUUCAAGGCACUCAGCCUUGAACCCCAAAAACUUGGGGGGACCAGUUUACCAGAGGGAAAAAGUGUUAGGGCUUCCUGUUCCUCCAUUUUUCAUGCCUGACACCCUUAUCUCUCUUUCCCUGAGUGAACCCAAAUAAAUUGUUUACUACUUUAGAAUUAGGUCUGGCU
ensembl:lncRNA